rnacentral:lncRNA from 1 species
UGAAAGUUCUUUAUCUUUCAACGGUUCUAUCAGAUUUUUAUUUUUGAAGCUUGAACCAACAAUGGACACCAGAUCAUCACGAUCACUCGACUUGCCUUUGUCUUUUUUGGGUGUGCAGGGUGCUUUUUUUGGGUCAGAGUAGGUAUAACUUGAAAAGGAGAAGGAGGAUAACAUUUUAGUCCGGUAGCUAUGGCAAACUCCUUCCAACCAAAACAAACAGGCAUGCCAAAGUAAUUUAUCCACACCUCAUCCAUCUUAUCUUUAUUUUCAUACAUAAACAUGCGCUUGAGAAGAUUAUGUACCAUUUUUAUCUGGAAAUGAGCUGUCCUCCAACAAAUCAAGAUAUUGCCCAAAACAAUUUUUCCUGAAAUAAGAAUCCAAUUUUUGUUCUUGAAGUAUUUUUCUGAAGGCGUCGAAAGAUUUUUCCAUGACUGAUUUAACCAUGAGAUCACCCGUUAAAUCUGUAGCACUAUCGCACUGCAUUCUCACAGGAUAAUGAUCAAUGCUGAAGGUUUUGACCAACUCUUCGGAGGAAGGGCUAUUAGAGUUUGAAUCAU